rnacentral:rRNA from 1 species
UACGUAGGUGGCAAGCGUUAUCCGGAUUUAUUGGGUUUAAAGGGUGCGCAGGCGGGAGAUUAAGUCGGCGGUGAAAUUUUGCAGCUCAACUGUAAAAGUGCCUUCGAAACUGGUUUCCUUGAGUGUGGAUGAAGUAGGCGGAAUUUGUGGUGUAGCGGUGAAAUGCAUAGAUAUCACGAGGAACUCCGAUUGCGCAGGCAGCUUACUAAACCAUAACUGACGCUCAGGCACGAAGGCGUGGGGAUCAAACAGGAUUAGAUACCCGGGUA